rnacentral:rRNA from 1 species
GACGAACUGCCCAAACGUUGUUCGGAAUCACUGGGCUUAAAGGGCGCGUAGGCGGCAGAUCAAGUCAGGGGUGAAAUCCGGCAGCUCAACUGUCGAAGUGCCUUUGAUACUGAUUUGCUCGAGGGAGAUAGGGGUCUGUGGAACUUCUGGUGGAGCGGUGAAAUGCGUUGAUAUCAGAAGGAACGCCGGUGGCGAAAGCGUCGGACUGGAUCUCUUCUGACGCUGAGGAGCGAAAGCGUGGGGAGCGAACAGG